AGGACGAACGCUGGCGGCGUGCUUAACACAUGCAAGUCGAGCGGUAAGGCCUUUCGGGGUACACGAGCGGCGAACGGGUGAGUAACACGUGGGUGAUCUGCCCUGCACUUCGGGAUAAGCCUGGGAAACUGGGUCUAAUACCGGAUAUGACCUCCUAUCGCAUGGUGGGUGGUGGAAAGAUUUAUCGGUGCAGGAUGGGCCCGCGGCCUAUCAGCUUGUUGGUGGGGUAAUGGCCUACCAAGGCGACGACGGGUAGCCGACCUGAGAGGGUGACCGGCCACGACUGGGACUGAGACACGGCCCAGACUCCUACGGGAGGCAGCAGUGGGGAAUAUUGCACAAUGGGCGAAAGCCUGAUGCAGCGACGCCGCGUGAGGAGUGACGGCGUCGGUU
rnacentral:rRNA from 1 species